rnacentral:rRNA from 1 species
UACGUAGGGUGCAAGCGUUACUCGGAAUUACUGGGCGUAAAGCGUGCGCAGGCGGUCUUGCAAGCCAGAUGUGAAAUCCCCGGGCUCAACCUGGGAACUGCAUUUGUGACUGCAAGGCUGGAGUACGGUAGAGGGGGAUGGAAUUCCGCGUGUAGCAGUGAAAUGCGUAGAUAUGCGGAGGAACACCGAUGGCGAAGGCAAUCCCCUGGACCUGUACUGACGCUCAUGCACGAAAGCGUGGGGAGCAAACAGG